ensembl:snRNA U2 U2 spliceosomal RNA
AUAUUUUUCAAUAAAAAAUCUGUUCUUAUCAGUUUAAUAUCUGAUACGUCCCCUAUCUGGGGACCAUAUAUUAAAUGGAUUUUUGGAACAGGGAGAUGGAAGAAGAGCUUGCUCUGUCCACUCCACGCAUCGACCUGGUAUUGCAGUACCUCCAGGACCGGUGCACCUCUC